UUUAAUGUGGCAGAAUAGUGCAAUGAAUUUAAGCUUCAUAUAUAAAGGCCAUCUUUCAUUAAAA
rnacentral:tRNA from 1 species